rnacentral:rRNA from 1 species
CACGGAGGGGACGAGCGUUGUCCGGAAUCAUUGGGCGUAAAGCGCGCGUAGGCGGCCCGGUAAGUCGGAUGUGAAAUCCCGGGGCUCAACCCCGGGACUGCAUCCGAUACUCCCGGGCUGGAGGCAGGUAGGGGAGAUCGGAAUUCCUGGUGUAGCGGUGAAAUGCGCAGAUAUCAGGAGGAACACCGGUGGCGAAGGCGGCUCUCUGGGCCUUGGCUGACGCUGAGACGCGAAAGCGUGGGGAGCGAACAGG